CCGCACCCCCGUGAGAAUGCCCUACCGUUUCCUGCUCGGAAACAAGGAGCUGGUAUCAGGCACAAACACCUUAGCCCACGACGCCUUGCUUAGCCACACCCCCAAGGGAGUUCAGCAGUGAUAAAUAUUAAGCCAUGAGUGAAAACUUGACUUAGUUAGUGCUAAGAGGGCCGGUAAAUCUCGUGCCAGCCACCGCGGUUAUACGAGAGACCCAAGUUGAUAGCCUCCGGCGUAAAGAGUGGUUAAGGCAGAUACCCAAACUAAAGCCGAACGACUUCAAAGCUGUUAUACGCACAUGAAUGUACUGAAGCUCAACUACGAAAGUGACUUUACCCAACCUGACCCCACGAAAGCUAAGAUACAAACUGGGAUUAGAUACCCCACUAUGCUUAGCCCUAAACAUCGAUAAUAAUCUACUUAUAUUAUCCGCCCGGGAACUACGAGCACUAGCUUAAAACCCAAAGGACUUGGCGGUGCUUUAGAUCCACCUAGAGGAGCCUGUUCUAGAACCGAUAAUCCCCGUUUAACCUCACCUUUCCUUGCCUAAUCCGCCUAUAUACCGCCGUCGUCAGCUUACCCUGUGAAGACCCUAAAGUAAGCAAAGCUGGUUCACCCUAAAACGCCAGGUCGAGGUGUAGCGAAUGGGAGGGGAAGAGAUGGGCUACAUUCAAUAGCUUGUACUGAAUACGAACGACACCCUGAAAAAGGUGCCCAAAGGAGGAUUUAGUAGUAAGCGGAGAUUAGAGUGCUCUACUGAAAUUGGCCCUGAAGCGCGUACACACCGCCCGUCACUCUCCCCGAAACUUACAAAAUAAAUUACUAAUAAACUAAAACUAUAAAGGGGAGGCAAGUCG
rnacentral:ncRNA from 1 species